ACUCAAAUGAAUUGACGGGGGCCCGCACAAGCAGUGGAUUAUGUGGUUUAAUUCGAAGCAACGCGCAGAACCUUACCAAGGUUUGAAAUCCGACAAACUUGCCUGAAAGGGUGAGGUGCUCUUCGGAGAAUGUCGAGACAGGUGCUGCAUGGCUGUCGUCAGCUCGUGUCGUGAGAUGUUGGGUUAAGUCUCGCAACGAGCGCAACCCCUAUUUUUAGUUGCCAGCAUUAAGUUGGGCACUCUAGAAAGACUGCCUGGGUUAACCAGGAGGAAGGUGGGGAUGACGUCAAGUCCUCAUGGCCCUUAUACCUUGGGCUACACACGUAAUACAAUGGUCGGUACAGAGGGAAGCGAACUCGCGAGGGGGAGCCAAUCUCAAAAAGCCGAUCUCAGUCCGGAUUGGAGUCUGAAACUCGACUCCAUGAAGUUGGAAUUGCUAGUAAUCGCAGAUCAGCACGCUGCGGUGAAUACGUUCCCGGGCCUUGCACACACCGCCCGU
rnacentral:rRNA from 1 species